rnacentral:rRNA from 1 species
GGAAUAUUGCGCAAUGGGCGAAAGCCUGACGCAGCAACGCCGCGUGAGUGAUGAAGGCCUUCGGGUCGUAAAGCUCUGUCGGAGGGAACGAAUGUUUCUGGGGUUAACAGCCCCGGGAAGUGACGGUACCCUCAAAGGAAGCACCGGCUAACUCGUUGCCAGCAGCCGCGGUAAUAAAGAGGGUGCAAGGGUUGUUCGGAAUCAUUGGGCGUAAAGGGCGUGUAGGCGGUUUGUUAAGUCAUGUGUGAAAUCCCUCGGCUCAACCGGGGAACGACGCAUGAAACUGGCAAGCUAGAGUACCAAGGAGGGGGGUGGAGUUCCCGGUGUAGCGGUGAAAUGCGUAGAUAUCGGGAGGAACACCUGUGGCGAAGGCGACCCCCUGGUUGGAUACUGACGCUGAGACGCGAAAGCGUGGGGAGCAAAC